AUGCUUAACACAUGCAAGUCGAACGGUAACAUUUCUAGCUUGCUAGAAGAUGACGAGUGGCGGACGGGUGAGUAAUGCUUGGGAACUUGCCUUUGCGAGGGGGAUAACAGUUGGAAACGACUGCUAAUACCGCAUAAUGUCUUCGGACCAAACGGGGCUUAGGCUCCGGCGCAAAGAGAGGCCCAAGUGAGAUUAGCUAGUUGGUAAGGUAACGGCUUACCAAGGCGACGAUCUCUAGCUGUUCUGAGAGGAAGAUCAGCCACACUGGGACUGAGACACGGCCCAGACUCCUACGGGAGGCAGCAGUGGGGAAUAUUGCACAAUGGGGGAAACCCUGAUGCAGCCAUGCCGCGUGUGUGAAGAAGGCCUUCGGGUUGUAAAGCACUUUCAGUUGUGAGGAAAAGUUAGUAGUUAAUACCUGCUAGCCGUGACGUUAACAACAGAAGAAGCACCGGCUAACUCCGUGCCAGCAGCCGCGGUAAUACGGAGGGUGCGAGCGUUAAUCGGAAUUACUGGGCGUAAAGAGCUCGUAGGCGGCUUGUUUAGUCGGACGUGAAAUCCCUUGGCUCAACUGAGGAACUGCGUCCGAUACUGGCAGGCUUGAAUCCGGGAGAGGGAUGCGGAAUUCCAGGUGUAGCGGUGAAAUGCGUAGAUAUCGGAAGGAACACCAGUGG
rnacentral:rRNA from 1 species